UUUUUUUCUUUAGUCUAUUCUUGUGGGUCUAUCAUCGCGUUUAGAAAGUCUGGUCCGCAGAAGUGUCAUUAAUAGCCUGACUCAUUUCACGGUAAGCAAACGAGAAGUCGACACGAUCACUCAGGCUGCUUGAUGACUCCAACACUUUACCAAUUGUCUCUGCUCGUUUCACUAUGCUGUUUACCACUACCGAGUGUUUCUAGCCAAAGAUACUUUAUUGCAAUGCCGAGAAGGAUACAACCCGGAGUAGACCACAAAGUGGUGCUGUCACUGUAUCAAGUUGAUAGAGGAAAUUACACCGUCGACCUCAGGGUGGAGCUAGACGACGGCACAAUC